rnacentral:rRNA from 1 species
CAGCAGCCGCGGUAAUACGUAGGGUGCAAGCGUUAAUCGGAAUUACUGGGCGUAAAGCGUGCGCAGGCGGUUAUAUAAGACAGAUGUGAAAUCCCCGGGCUCAACCUGGGAACUGCAUUUGUGACUGUAUAGCUAGAGUACGGCAGAGGGGGAUGGAAUUCCGCGUGUAGCAGUGAAAUGCGUAGAUAUGCGGAGGAACACCGAUGGCGAAGGCAAUCCCCUGGGCCUGUACUGACGCUUAUGCACGAAAGCGUGGGGAGCAAACAGGAUUAGAUACCCCGGUAGUCCCUGUCUCUUAUAC